UACGUAGGGCGCAAGCGUUGUCCGGAAUUAUUGGGCGUAAAGAGCUCGUAGGCGGCUUGUCACGUCGGAUGUGAAAGCCCGAGGCUUAACCUCGGGUCUGCAUUCGAUACGGGCUAGCUAGAGUGUGGUAGGGGAGAUCGGAAUUCCUGGUGUAGCGGUGAAAUGCGCAGAUAUCAGGAGGAACACCGGUGGCGAAGGCGGAUCUCUGGGCCGAUACUGACGCUGAGGAGCGAAAGCGUGGGGAGCAAACAGG
rnacentral:rRNA from 1 species